rnacentral:rRNA from 1 species
AACGCGUGGGAAAUCUGCCGAGUAGCGGGGGACAACGCUUGGAAACGAACGCUAAUACCGCAUAGCAAUGAGAAUCGCAUGAUUCUGAUUUAAAAGAAGCAACUGCUUCACUACUUGAUGAUCCCGCGUUGUAUUAGCUAGUUGGUAGUGUAAAGGACUACCAAGGCGAUGAUACAUAGCCGGCCUGAGAGGGUGAACGGCCACACUGGGACUGAGACACGGCCCAGACUCCUACGGGAGGCAGCAGUAGGGAAUCUUCGGCAAUGGGGGCAACCCUGACCGAGCAACGCCGCGUGAGUGAAGAAGGUUUUCGGAUCGUAAAACUCUGUUGUUAGAGAAGAACGUUAAGUAGAGUGGAAAGUUACUUAAGUGACGGUAUCUAACCAGAAAGGGACGGCUAACUACGUGCCAGCAGCCGCGGUAAUACGUAGGUCCCGAGCGUUGUCCGGAUUUAUUGGGCGUAAAGCGAGCGCAGGUGGUUCCUUAAGUCUGAUGUAAAAGGCAGUGGCUCAACCAUUGUGUGCAUUGGAAACUGGGGAACUUGAGUGCAGGAGAGGGGAGUGGAAUUCCAUGUGUAGCGGUGAAAUGCGUAGAUAUAUGGAGGAACACCGGAGGCGAAAGCGGCUCUCUGGCCUGUAACUGACACUGAGGCUCGAAAGCGUG